GAUGAACGCUGGCGGCGUGCCUAAUACAUGCAAGUCGAGCGAACGGACGAGAAGCUUGCUUCUCUGAUGUUAGCGGCGGACGGGUGAGUAACACGUGGAUAACCUACCUAUAAGACUGGGAUAACUUCGGGAAACCGGAGCUAAUACCGGAUAAUAUUUUGAACCGCAUGGUUCAAAAGUGAAAGACGGUCUUGCUGUCACUUAUAGAUGGAUCCGCGCUGCAUUAGCUAGUUGGUAAGGUAACGGCUUACCAAGGCAACGAUGCAUAGCCGACCUGAGGGGGUGGUCGGCCACACUGGAACUGAGACACGGUCCAGACUCCUACGGGAGGCAGCAGUAGGGAAUCUUCCGCAAUGGUCGAAAGCCUGGCGGAGCAACGCCGCGUGAGUGAUGAAGGUCUUCGGAUCGUAAUACUCUGUUAUUAGUGAAGAACAUAUGUGUAAGUAACUGUGCACAGCUUGACGGUACCUAAUCAGAAAGCCACGGCUAACUACGUG
rnacentral:rRNA from 1 species